rnacentral:rRNA from 1 species
GACAGAGGUGCCGAGCGUUAGGCGGAAUCACUGGGCUUAAAGCGUGUGUAGGCGGGUCGUUAAGUACCUUGUGAAAUCCCCCGGCUCAACCGGGGAACUGCUGGGUAUACUGGCGAUCUUGAGCCACCUAGGGGCAGUCGGAACAAGUGGUGGAGCGGUGAAAUGCGUAGAUAUCACUUGGAACGCCAAUGGUGAAAACAGACUGCUGGGGGUGUGCUGACGCUGAGACACGAGAGCCAGGGGAGCGAACGGG